UACGAAGGGGGCUAGCGUUGCUCGGAAUGACUGGGCGUAAAGGGCGCGUAGGCGGAUGGCACAGUCAGAUGUGAAAUUCCUGGGCUUAACCUGGGGGCUGCACUUAAUACGGCCAGGCUUGAGUGUGGAAGAGGGUCGUGGAAUUCCCAGUGUAGAGGUGAAAUUCGUAGAUAUUGGGAAGAACACCGGUGGCGAAGGCGGCGACCUGGUCCAUUACUGACGCUGAGGCGCGAAAGCGUGGGGAGCAAACAGG
rnacentral:rRNA from 1 species